rnacentral:tRNA from 1 species
GGGGAUGUAGCUUAGAGGUGAGAGCACUUGUUUAGUAUGUAUAAGAUCCCUGGUGGUUCCAUCCCCA